rnacentral:rRNA from 1 species
UACGGAGGGGGCAAGCGUUAUUCGGAAUUAUUGGGCGUAAAGGGCGCGUAGGCGGCUAGAUGUGUCAAAGGUGAAAUCUCUCGGCUCAACUGAGGAACUGCCUUUGAAACUGUCUGGCUUGAGGCCGGGAGAGGGUAGCGGAAUUCCCAGUGUAGCGGUGAAAUGCGUAGAUAUUGGGAGGAACACCAGUGGCGAAGGCGGCUACCUGGACCGGUUCUGACGCUGAGGCGCGAAAGCGUGGGUAGCAAACAGG